rnacentral:rRNA from 1 species
UUACCCGCUGAACUUAAGCAUAUCAAUAAGCGGAGGAAAAGAAACUAACAAGGAUUCCCCUAGUAACGGCGAGUGAAGCGGGAAAAGCUCAAAUUUGUAAUCUGGCGCCUUUGGCGUCCGAGUUGUAAUCUCGAGAAGUAUUUUCCGCGCUGGACCGCACAUAAGUCUGUUGGAAUACAGCGUCAUAGUGGUGAGAACCCCGUAUAGGGUGCGGAUGCCCAGUGCUUUGUGAUAUACUUUCGAAGAGUCGAGUUGUUUGGGAAUGCAGCUCAAAUUGGGUGGUAAAUUCCAUCUAAAGCUAAAUAUUGGCGAGAGACCGAUAGCGAACAAGUACCGUGAGGGAAAGAUGAAAAGCACUUUGGAAAGAGAGUUAACAGUACGUGAAAUUGUUGGAAGGGAAACGCUUGAAGUCAGACUUGCAUUUUGGAGUUCAGCCGUAAGGUGUAUUCUUCAAUUCGCAGGCCAGCAUCAGUUUUUGGGGGUGGAAAAUCGUGGUUUGAAGGUAGCAGUCUCGGCUGUGUUAUAGCUUUCCACUGGAUUCACUUUUGGGGCCUGAGGAAA